UACGUAGGGUGCGAGCGUUAAUCGGAAUUACUGGGCGUAAAGCGUGCGCAGGCGGUCUGUUAAGACCGAUGUGAAAUCCCCGGGCUUAACCUGGGAACUGCAUUGGUGACUGGCAGGCUUUGAGUGUGGCAGAGGGGGGUAGAAUUCCACGUGUAGCAGUGAAAUGCGUAGAGAUGUGGAGGAAUACCGAUGGCGAAGGCAGCCCCCUGGGCCAACACUGACGCUCAUGCACGAAAGCGUGGGGAGC
rnacentral:rRNA from 1 species